CCUACGGGGGGCAGCAGUAGGGAAUCUUCCGCAAUGGGCGAAAGCCUGACGGAGCAACGCCGCGUGAGUGAUGAAGGUCUUCGGAUCGUAAAACUCUGUUAUCAGGGAAGAACAAAUGUGUAAGUAACUGUGCACAUCUUGACGGUACCUGAUCAGAGAGCCACGGCUAACUACGUGCCAGCAGCCGCGGUAAUACGUAGGUGGCAAGCGUUAUCCGGAAUUAUUGGGCGUAAAGCGCGCGUAGGCGGUUUUUUAAGUCUGAUGUGAAAGCCCACGGCUC
rnacentral:rRNA from 1 species